UCUUCUUCUCUCCCUCCUCCUCUUUCUCCUCCUCCUUUCUUCUUCCUCUGGCAGAAGGUAGCCUAGAAGAUUAUAGGGAAUACGAGGCAGACCAACAGAAAAGGGUGGGAGGGAGUUUGUAGGUUUGCACGGGCAUUUUUCUGCCGGGCUAUCAGCUAUUUGUAAACGUCUCUCCACUGAGUGCAGGACAGAGCAGGAGACAUUGAAGGUAGACUCGGAGUGUGUGGUUUUUAAGUAUCUGGUGAGAUAUUGUCUUCAGCUCAUAAGAGGAUUCUCUGAACAACGGACUUGUAUUAGAACUGAGAACAAGUACCUAUUGUUUAGCCCUAAGAAGCUCCAAGUGUUUCUUCUAGAGAUAAUUAAUUUAAUUAAAAUGGUCCCUGAAGCCAAAUGAGCUUUGUAUUGAGCACUGCGCACAUUCCUUCUAGAUUCCUGCACAGGGCUGUUAAGAAUUAGCCGGCUAGCAGCCUCAAACCCACACCCCCUCCUGUGGGAAUGAGGUCCCAGGGGCAGCAAGCUGGGCGAAUGGCAUUUAGAAGUCCGAUAUGUGAAGGAAAGAUCUAGGUCUUGUUCCAAAAGUGAUGUGGCCAUCUUUUCACUUCAUGGUGAUUUCUAAAGAGAACUCUGCCUUUUGACUGUGUCCAUUUCAAAAGCCCACAGGGUAGCCUCAGCAGCUCUGUGCUCCCUUAAGGGGCGAAUGAGUGGAGAAUUCAGUGAAAAGCAAACAGGCAGGGUUUGGGGCCUAUUAUUUAUGGAGUAAGCAAAUUGAGCAGGAUUUGAUCGAAGAUAAAAACUACCAUGCUAUUGUGUCUCCCAAGGGGCCUUGGUAAGACAUGGUUGCAUUGAAUGGUGGCUUAGUUAUGGUGGAUCUAAUUCAACAUGCUUAUUCCAAACCACAAGGCGGCACCUCAGGGAGGCUGAACGGAAUGGCUGUUGAGGCAGCAGCCUAUGGAGACAAGAAGAUGGCUUGCUGGGCUCUCCCUACCCUGUGACUUGUAUUACUGGCAUGCUUUUUACACUCUUUAUUGCCUCUGUUUCCCCACCACUCCCUGCUAUAAAGCUCAAAGUGUGUGUGUGUGUGUGUGUGUGUGUGUGUGUGUGUGUGUGUGAUUUCAGCUUGACUGGAGAGCUUGCAGUGCUCUGAGUACUGGUCUGGGUGUUUGAAGUGAGCAGGAUAAAGACCCUUCCUGUAUUGUGACAAUUCAAGUUCAGUGAGGGCAAGAGGGUGAAGAUUCGAACAAGCAAAUGACAGAUAACAAAAACAUACUGAAAUGAGAGAGAAAAACUGCUGUGCUAGGAGCAGGGCUGGAGAGCAGGGAUAGGGAGCAGGGACUGGGAGUAUGGAUAGGGAGCAAGAUGGAGAUGCAGCUCAAAGUGGAGUGCUUUGCCAAGCAUGUACAGGGCCCUGGGUUUGAUCCUCAACACUGCAAAAUUAACUCAUUAAAAGACUUAACAAGGGGCUGGAGAGAUGGCUCAAUGGUUAAGAGCACUAACUGCUCUUCCAGAGGCUGUGAGUUUAAUUCCCAUCAUCCAUGUGGCACUUCACACCUGUCUGUAAUUCCAGUUCCAGGGCUCCUUGACAACUUCACCCAGACAUACAUGCAGGCUAAGCAUCAAUGAUCAUUGGGGGCGGGGGCAGGGAGACAUAACAAAAAGAGCCAGAUUCCAGUUGCAAUUUGGAAGGAUGUAAGGGCCCAGAAACAUUCACAGUGGAGAUGUGGUAGAUGGGGUGGCGGCUGGUGCAGGAAGGAGAGAGACCAGUGCUGGGAGAUGAGUGUGAGCAGAGGAGACAGAGACAGAGACAGAGACAGAGACAGAGACAGAGACAGAGAGAGAGAGAGAGACAGAGACAGAGACAGAGAGAGAGAGACAGAGAGAGAAACAGAGAGAGAGAGAGAAAACUGUCCACUCUGACACAGACUGACUAGAAGACUCUAACACACACUGGGGAAGACUGGGAAUAGUAAAUGGAAAGUGGCCAUGUUUAGUGUGGGAGCCUGAGGAAGUUUCUCCCUGUCUCAGACACAGAGGUCCAGGGAGCAAAGAAAAAAGGAGACGGGAGUGUGAGGAGUCUGGACAGAGAGACGGCAGUGUGACCAUCUACUGUGGCUUAAUGGGAGAGGGGUGGACAAGGACUUAUGAGUUGAAUAUCCCUGAAAUCCAAAACUUUCUCAGUCGCACGAGAAGCUCCUGUUUUAGAUUUUUUUUUUUAUAUUAAGGAUCUUCCACCAGGACGAACUCUGCAAAUAUUAAAAACAUAAGUAAAAUAAAAUAAACCCAAACCUGAAACAUUCCUGGUGCAAGUAUUUGGGGCAAGAUGCCAGGCAGCAUCACGAGGGCCUGUGAUCAGAAACCCAGAGGAGGAGGAACCUUUGCUGGAUGGUUCAGCUACCCCAAAACAGGCAGUCUCAGGUCCCCCCCCCCGCCCCCCGCCUGCGACUUUCCCAGAUGGGACAGGGUUGGGAGGGUAGCAAGGACAAUCAAGAGGUUCCAGCAUAAGAACAGCCGGAAGCCAGCAGAUCUGAGGCUAGCCUGGACAAUUCAGAAAGACCUUACAUCGGAAUACAAAUUUUAAAGGCACAGUGGGAGAGCCCCUGCUGGAGAUGCACAACAUAGCUUUGGCCCUUGGUUCUCAGUGCCCACACAAGGGGAAAGCCCUGUUUGAGAAUGCAAAUCACUUCCUGGUGUGCUCCGUAAUAACAGGCAGCUGUCCUGUCAGCCCCGCUGGAGAAUGAGAUAAUAAGGCAGGCAAACGAUGUCCUUUAUGUCGGAAUCCACCACUUCCUGCAGUUUGCUUCUGAGAUGCUUUGAGGAGC